rnacentral:lncRNA from 1 species
UUCCAGUUUCCUCACGUUGACCUACAACCAUUUAAACUAGCUCUUGUUUCUCAUUCAUUGCAACAACAUUCACCUCAUACCAAAUGAAGUAACCGCAUCCUUUAUAAACUUUAGAAACAUAUUGGGGGACCAAAAAAAUUUCUUUCUGGAUUGGUGGACGUGUGGGAUAUACGCCCGGAAUCCGCAAUUUCACAAUACUUCUUCAUUAUCAUUGUUGAACUCAUCCUUGAGAAGGGGUCGUUUCCAUUGGAACAUUAUCUCAUCAAUUUCUUUACGAUACACGAAACCCUAAUGUCACAACCCAUACUAAUAACAUCCCAAGGUAUCAUGUACUAUCACGUGGAUGAAAUGCUUACUUGACUGACUCAGUUGCGGAGUGUUAGAUAUUACAAGAUUAAAUAAUUGCUUGCUUCUAAAGCUUUCAUCAAUAGCGUCAAUGGCGGAUUGCUGCGAUGGAAAGGGGAAAGGGGAGAAGGGAGAUAUAUUAUCCCAAACAUUUAAUUUUUAACUUCUUUAAACCAAAAAUUACUUGCUUUUUCUUACACCCACACAUUGCAUUCUGACACAUGGGUUGAAUUGGAAAAGGUUUCCCGUCCAGUACAUUUUGGCGGAAGCGAGUUUUUAAAUUGGGUCGCGGUUUGAGAAUCAUCACUUUGAGUUGCUUGAUUGAUGGUUGGAUAUCUCGCUUACCUGGGAUGCGUGGUUCUUCCGCAUGGUGAAGAGAAUGGAAGAUGACUAAAUUCAUGGAUGGCGAGUUGAAGAAAUUUCGACUCAAACCAACAUGAAUAAAAUACGACCUUGGAACCUUAUAAAAAAUGAUAAACCUACGAGAUUAUUAAAGUCGAUAACCCCUAUGUAGUCCUCCAUUAGGUCAGGGAAAGAAAUAUCAAUUAAAUGGACCCUUCACUUGUUGGUACUUCGACACAAACAAUCUAUUGGAUCAAUCCGACCAUCAAUCCGAUUGAAAUAAUAAAAGGAGGUACUAAAUAUUAAUUUUUAUGUGUUUUUAUCUCCAAAUCUUCAAAAAUCUAGAUUUAUUAGUUCUCUGAACCCACCACCAUCAUGAAACCCCCACUUUGUAUUUGCUAUAAGAGAGACUAGGAUCUUGAAAAUUGAUAUUUUUUUAAGCUUGUAAACUGGUUUUUGAAGAGCAACAAUGAAACCAAACUGUUUCGUGCUUCCUACUUGCGAGGGCCUGUGGGAAAGAACCACGACGACAAACGAAAGAAUGGAGGGGAGAAAAAUAUCUAAGACGAAGAUGGGAGAUGAAGAGAUGAGGAGAGAGAGCGGAAUAGAGAGAGUUUGUUAGACAAAAAGAAACCUAUUACUUCUGUUUUUUUUAAUUAUUAAAUUUCCUAUUUAAAUCCGGGCCUUCCGAUAAAAUACAACUAAAAGUGACUAAAUCUAAGGGUAGAGAAAACUUCAGCUAAGUGCUGACAUUUAAAUUUGACACCAACCUAUUAAAUCACUAGAAGCUCCUUUGGUUCACUUAUUUUUUUAUUUGAAGGAUUUUAUAUAUGAAUUGUGUCCCUUUGAUUUAAAAGAGUUGUCUCGUUUGUUUUUUUAUUGUAAAAAAAGAUUUAGUGUUGCGUAUUAACUUUUAUUUAUGAUCAUUUUAUUUUUUACACACCAAGUACAUUAUAGCGAAACCAAUAAAUUAAAAAUAGAUUAGAAAUAGGAAAAGAGUUCUGACACGCUUAUAAUACGUACUAAAAAAUACUCAAAUUACAGAAGUAACUAGGGUCAAAAUUCCUAAAAUUUCAAAAAUGUGUUUCAAAAUAAUAAUUAAUUAAUUGUCAAAUAUUCAAUUAAAAAUAUUUAAUUACUAAUUCACCUAAACCACCCUAAUCAAAUUAUAAUUCAAAAAACUAAUAAUUAGAUAUUAAAAGUUAAAAAUGAAUGGCGCACAUUUGUCCGCCACCUAUGAUUACAUCAACACACUUACGAUCAACAGUCCAGGCGACCAAUAUAGCGCAUGUGUUAUUGUGGUCGGCGCACGUAAAUGGCACCGAUGUUUGUACUAUUGGCGCACAUAACUAGUGUCGAACUUUUUUUCUCGAUUCUCUAACCUGUAAAUGGCGGAUCUGAGGUGGCGGCGACGGUGGCGGAUCUGAAGUGGCAGCGGCAGAUCUGGGCUACGGCGGCUGCAUAUUUAGGCUGCAGCGGACCUUCAAGGCGGCGGAUUUGGUGGCAGCGGCUGCCGAUCUGGAUGCGGUAGAACUUCUGACGGCUGCAAAUACCGGGUGGCGGCGACGACUCGGCCUGGUAGGAGAAGAACAUGGAGGUGAGAGAGAUGAGGGUUUUGAGUUAGGCCAUGAAUUUGUUUUGAGUUAGGUCGUGUGUGUAUUUAAUUAUUAGGUUCGAAAGGCAUUCGCGUAAUUAUACUCAUGAAAUUCAAAUGUUUGGGCUUUUUUAGCAAUCCUCAUGAUCAUCAUCGAAGAUUAAAACUCGAAUUAAUUCUAAGGAAACAUUUGGCG